rnacentral:rRNA from 2 species
UUCCGGUUGAUCCCGCCGGAGGUUACUGCUAUCGAGGUUCGACUAAGCCAUGCGAGUCGAAUGUAGCAAUACAUGGCGUACUGCUCAGUAACACGUGGACAACCUACCCUUGAGACGGGGAUAAACCCGGGAAACUGGGUAUAAUACCCGAUAGAUCUCGAAUGCUGGAAUGCAUCGAGAUCCAAAGCUCCGGCGCUCAAGGAUGGGUCUGCGGCCUAUCAGGUAGUAGUGGGUGUAGCGUACCUACUAGCCUACGACGGGUACGGGUUGUGAGAGCAAGAGCCCGGAGAUGGAUUCUGAGACACGAAUCCAGGCCCUACGGGGUGCAGCAGGCGCGAAAACUUUACAAUGCCGGCAACGGCGAUAAGGGGACCUCGAGUGCCAGGUUACAAAUCUGGCUGUCGUGAUGCCUAAAAGAGGCAUUGCAUAGCGAGGGCCGGGCAAGACCGGGUGCCCAGCCGCCGCGUUAACAUCCGGCGGCUCGAGUGGUAACCAGUUAUUAUUGGGUCUAAAGGGUCUGUAGCCGGCCGGAUAAGUCUCUUGGGAAAUCUGGCAGCUUAACUGUCAGGCUUUCAGGAGAUACGGUCUGGCUCGAGGCCGGGAGAGAUGAGAGGUACUUCAGGGGUAGGGGUGAAAUCUUGUAAUCCUUGAAGGACCACCAGUGGCGAAGGCGUCUCACCAGAACGGACCUGACGGCAAGGGACGAAAGCUAGGGGCACGAACCGGAUUAGAUACCCGGGUAGUCCCAGCCGUAAACGAUACUCGCUAGGUGUCGGCCACGGUGCGACCGUUGUCGGUGCCGUAGGGAAGCCGUGAAGCGAGCCACCUGGGAAGUACGGCCGCAAGGCUGAAACUUAAAGGAAUUGGCGGGGGAGCAC